rnacentral:misc_RNA from 1 species
UUCCGAUCUCCGGCGGCAUGACCGAGCGUCAGGUUCAGCUCAUCACCGAUUUCAAGCCCGAAGUCAUCAUGGUGACGCCAUCCUAUAUGCUGGCGAUCCUCGAUGAAUUCAGGAAACAAGGUCUCGACCCGCGCAAGUCAUCGCUGCGCAUCGGAAUCUUCGGCGCCGAGCCAUGGACCAAUGCGAUGCGCGAGGAAAUCGAGGAAGCGUUCGAUCUUCACGCCGUCGACAUCUAUGGCCGGCGUUGCCAGCGAAUGCGUCGAGACGAAGGACGGCCUCCACAUCUGGGAAGAUCAUUUCUAUCCAGAAGUGAUCAAUCCAGUCACCGGCGAAGUGUUGCCGGACGGCGAAAAGGGCGAACUGGUCUUCACCUCGCUGACCAAGGAAGCCAUGCCCGUGAUCCGCUACCGGACCCGCGACCUGACGCGAUUGCUGCCGGGAACGGCGCGCUCGCUGCGGCGCAUGGAGAAAGUCACCGGCCGCUCCGACGACAUGAUGAUCGUUCGCGGCGUCAACGUGUUCCCGACCC